rnacentral:lncRNA from 10 species
UGUACAUUAUAUUAAAAUUUAUUUUCUAUGUAUACCCAAAUUUUCAAGUAUUAGAUUUACUUAGAAAUUCACCAGUGUUAUCAUUAUACAAUUGGCUGGAAUUAACAGUUGCAAUACAGUUAUUCUAGCUUUUCAUAUUCAAUUUGAAUGAUCAGAAAAGUAUAUUAGUCACACAGAAUUAAAUAUUUUAGAUAGUAAGAAUCUUACACUUUAUUAGAUAAUAAAACAUAAUUGAUAUUUGCUUAAGUAACAAAAAAGUUAAGAAAUUGGGUUAUAAGCAAAGGAACAUAAGUGUAAAAUGUGUAGAAAGAUAAAUAUUUUCCAAAUAAAAUUCUAAUAAAAGGCUAAACAUUCUCAAAUAUUUUACAUACAUGAAGAAUAAAUUAUUUCUGGUUAACAUGUUUUUGCCUUAGUGCCAAAAAAGCCAGAACAAAUUUGAUAAGCUCACAUUAAAAUCAAAGUUUUCUAGAUAUGAAUUCUAUAUACCAUCUCUAUAUUUGUUUAGAAUUUUGCAAAAUUCUUAGAAGAUUGCAUGUUAGGGUGGGGGAAGAUAAAUGCUUGCCAAUACUGACAUGGUUAAUUAACAGACAGGCUUGAAAGGAGAAGGCUAGAAGAGGGAAGAUUAUGUCACUAAGCAUAGCUACAAAAGGAAAAGCCACAUGGAAGCAGAGACAAAGGCAAUCCCGACACACAGAGGCAUGUUUGUUGCGGCUCAGGGUUUCUGUUUUUCAAGUGUUCAGAGACGAAUUCCAGCAAGACUUCUGGUUUGAGUCAAGCCUUUCAACCGAGGUGCUUGGCAUACUUAACGGAAAAAGCGAGUACAUUCAGAUUUAGUUUUGCUAGAUAUUAAACUAGAAAACUGGAUGACAGUAAAACCAAUACAGAAACAAAAAGUCAUGUUUCCAGUAAAGAACCGUACACACAAGCAGGUUUUGCUUAUUAAUGUAGCAGGAGAGCAUGGAAAUCGGAGUUCAGACUCUUUAGAAAAGACAAAAGGCAGGGGAGGGGAGAGAAGAAAAGGAGGAAUGCAGAGAAGCCCUCCAAGAAUGAUGAGUGAUUCGUGCAGGAGAGGGAAAUACAGACGUUCCGUCCAUGUGAGAUUCUGCUUCAGGUAUUGGACAUCGUUCCCUCCACCUGCACCUAGAGGAUAUGUGUUCAGGAUCUCGCUAUGGUUAGUUACCCAUGUGCUAGACAUAGGUUGCUAGCUAGAAGUUUUGCCAGCCAUCUUCCCCCCUCCUAGUGCUAAUGCCUAAUUUCCUAAAGUAAUCUGAAUCCUUAUAAGCCAGGGUAGCUCAGGAGGUUCUAUUUACUUAUUUAUUUAUUUUGAGACAGAGUCUCACUGUGUCGCCCAGGCAGAUCUCGUCUGGGCCCGAGUCUCGUUGCAGUGGUGUAAUCUCUGCUCACUGCAACCUCUGCCUCCCAGCAUCAGUAAGUUUUAAUAUUACGUCUAGUCGGCUCACGGGUGCUUGAGCCAGAAGUGGGAAGGGUACACUUGUAUUUUGGGCUCAAAUGGUUUUCAAAUAAAAUACAUCUGACCAAAUAAAGUGAACACAGUCCUGAGCCCUCCUCUCUCCAGAUAUGCAUGCAAUCCACACCAUCAAAAGAAGAGUUCACUGUUCCCAAGGCCAAGAAGAGGCUAUGCUGUACUGCAAAGAACUCUAUAGCAAAAUCGAACACCCAAAUUAAGUGCCAGAAUGAUGCAGCCCGCUCUCACCAGGAAGAACGACAUGUGAGAAAACUUAUAGCAGAUGCAAAAAUGUCAACCCACCAUGUUAUUUAAAAAAAAAUUUUAUCAGGAUACAAGGACACUUCACUGUUUUUAACCCACACAAGGUUAGGUAAUGUUUACCUUGAAACAUAAUCGCAUAUGGCCCUUUAUGCCACUCACCUAGGCCUUUAAUAAUGAGGGCAAUUGCUAAGUGUGCUGUCUCUUCUGGGGACUUCUCUCUGAAAGGGGGAUGAUAUAUUGAUAAAAUAUUUUAUUAAUCAGUUAAGAAUUUUUGAUCUACUUGAAAAAGAUUAAAUUAUAAUAUUUCACUUUGAAACUGCUAUUGCUCAUGCAAAAGUACUUGAUUUUCAUACUAUAUGGAGCUCACAAUCUUUGGACUACACAAACAUUCUCUAAAAGGGCAAUGACUUAUAUUUUCCAAAGUUUAGACAUGACAUCCAAAGGACAAAAGGUAACUAUUUUUUUUACCAAUGUGGUUGGAACAGUGACAACGAGCAAUGUAUUCACCAAACUGAUCAAAAAAUCUGCCUGUGGUUCCUUCACUGUAUGUGUGUGCAGAGAAAGGCAGAAAAGCUUCUAUCCAUGUCAUUGUCUCUCUUGCCCAUGUGCCAGUAAUUUGAAUAAGAUGAGAAUGGGCCAGGCGCAGCGGCUCACGCCUGUAAUCCCACUACUUUGGGAGACCAAGGCGGGUGA